rnacentral:rRNA from 1 species
CUUGACAUGUCUAGAAUUUUGCAGAGAUGUGAAAGUGCUCGAAAGAGAACUAGAACACAGGUGCUGCAUGGCCGUCGUCAGCUCGUGUCGUGAGAUGUUGGGUUAAGUCCCGCAACGAGCGCAACCCUUGUCAUUAGUUGCUACGAAAGGGCACUCUAAUGAGACUGCCGGUGACAAACCGGAGGAAGGUGGGGAUGACGUCAGGUCCUCAUGGCCCUUAUGGGUAG